UGGGGAAUAUUGGACAAUGGGCGCAAGCCUGAUCCAGCCAUGCCGCGUGAGUGAUGAAGGCCUUAGGGUUGUAAAGCUCUUUUAGCAGGGAAGAUAAUGACGGUACCUGCAGAAAAAGCCCCGGCUAACUUCGUGCUAGCAGCCGCGGUAAUACGAAGGGGGCUAGCGUUGCUCAGAAUUACUGGGCGUAAAGCGCACGUAGGCGGACUCUUAAGUCGGUGGUGAAAUCCUGGAGCUCAACUCCAGAACUGCCUUCGAUACUGGGAGUCUUGAGUUCGGGAGAGGUAAGUGGAACUGCGAGUGUAGAGGUGAAAUUCGUAGAUAUUCGCAAGAACACCAGUGGCGAAGGCGGCUCACUGGCCCGAUACUGACGCUGAGGUGCGAAAGCGUGGGGAGCAAACA
rnacentral:rRNA from 1 species